GGUUCGUUCAGUGGUUAAUGCUGAUGACACUCCAGUUUUCAUCAAUAAUAGUAGUGAAACAAGUGAAGUAACGAGUGCUUGUUGUGAUAAAUUUAAAGUAGAACUACAAAAGACCUUAAUAGAACUCAGUUCAGUACAAAAAAAUUAUUGAACUGCUACAAGAAGAGAUGAACUUGAAUACGCCCAAUAGGACCCGCCAGAAGACGUACUGUCCAACAUCAAGACUGAGCCUGAUGACAGCGAACUGAAGCUGCAGGCGGCUGUUACAGAGUCGGAGAACAAUAUAGAAAAGGUGGCAGAGUCAGUACUGGAGAGAAACUCGGAAGGAAACACGGAAGGUGGUUCCAUUGUGCUUAAUGCUACAGCAGAAUUCUGCCGUAUGUUGGGUGACAUCGCCACGUAUUGUCUGGCUGGCAACAGAGAUGAGGACGCUCAGGAACUACUUUUGAGUGCAAUACAACCAUCUGCAGAUUUUGGCUUUGAGAGGGAAAUGAUUGAAGAGAAGAAACGUCAGGAAGAAGGCAAACGUGGAGCUUGGAAUUAAGUUGAGAUUGAGAUGAUGAAAAGUUUGGGCAUCGCGAGCAGUACAGUGGUCUGACCUCAGACUUCAGAGAGGAAGAGGAGGGCUACAAACCAGAUGUUAAAUUCGACUACACAGAUGAUGAUGGACAUCUUCUUAAUGUAAAGGAGACUUCCAGAUACCUGUCUCAUGAAUUUCAUGGAAAGGGACCUGGCAAAAAUAAAGUGGAGAAAUGAAUGAAGAAAGCUGAACAGGAAGGAUUGAUGAAACAGGUGAGCUCAACAGACACCCCACUUGGAACACUUAGCGUCUCGUAGCAGCAACAGAAAGAAACGCAUGUCCAUUCAUGAUCCUCAGUGACAGGAAACAAAUAUGAGGCAACCAUCUCGAAAACAAAACUGCAAAUUCUUCGUGAAAUACACUGGCACCAACUCUGAAAUUUAGUGUCGACUUAUAUUUUUAUUGUUUGUUACUGUCUGGAAUAUCACCUCUAGUUUUAAGUAAGACACAGUUUGCAGCUGACGAUAGUGCCUGUAGGUACUGGAAGGAAGGCCACAGAG